rnacentral:piRNA from 1 species
GGUUUAUUAAGGAAGAAAGCAUUCCAGG